rnacentral:rRNA from 1 species
UUGAACGCUGGCGGCAGGCCUAACACAUGCAAGUCGAAUGGUAACAGGAAACAGCUUGCUGUUUCGCUGACGAGUGGCGGACGGGUGAGUAAUGUCUGGGAAACUGCCUGAUGGAGGGGGAUAAAUACUGGAAACGGUAGCUAAUACCGCAUAACGUCGCAAGACCAAAGAGGGGGACCUUCGGGCCUCUUGCCAUCAGAUGUGCCCAGAUGGGAUUAGCUAGUAGGUGGGGUAACGGCUCACCUAGGCGACGAUCCCUAGCUGGUCUGAGAGGAUGACCAGCCACACUGGAACUGAGACACGGUCCAGACUCCUACGGGAGGCAGCAGUGGGGAAUAUUGCACAAUGGGCGCAAGCCUGAUGCAGCCAUGCCGCGUGUAUGAAGAAGGCCUUCGGGUUGUAAAGUACUUUCAGCGGGGAGGAAGGGAGUAAAGUUAAUACCUUUGCUCAUUGACGUUACCCGCAGAAGAAGCACCGGCUAACUCCGUG